rnacentral:ncRNA from 1 species
UGUUUUUCGGUUCUCAAGAAAUUGAGAUUAAAAGGGAAUUAGGUCAGAAUCCUAAGCAACAGCCAUUACCGUAUUUGAUGAAUUGAGCACAUUUGCCAUUGGUUUUUCCGAGAAGGCGUGUUCAUACGUUUUUUGACUUUAUCUUAAGUCGGGAGACCUGCCGAAAAAUUAU